GUCAAGAGUAGUCCUAAUCGAUCAGUAUCAACUUUGUGGGGCUUAUAUCUUAGGAGCGCAUAUAAAUAAACCUAUAUCUCAAUAGAAGGAAUAAUAGUUGCAAAUAGUAUUCUGGAAAUUCUUUUAUAGUUAGGUUUAUACCUAAGUAUUAGUGCAGAGAAAUCAAAG
rnacentral:ribozyme from 1 species